rnacentral:rRNA from 1 species
AUAAUGGGUCAGCGACUUAUAUUCUGUAGCAAGGUUAACCGAAUAGGGGAGCCGAAGGGAAACCGAGUCUUAACUGGGCGUUAAGUUGCAGGGUAUAGACCCGAAACCCGGUGAUCUAGCCAUGGGCAGGUUGAAGGUUGGGUAACACUAACUGGAGGACCGAACCGACUAAUGUUGAAAAAUUAGCGGAUGACUUGUGGCUGGGGGUGAAAGGCCAAUCAAACCGGGAGAUAGCUGGUUCUCCCCGAAAGCUAU